CACGUAGUUAGCCGGGGCUUUCUUCUCAGGUACCGUCACUCCGAUAGCAGUUACUCUACCGGACGUUCUUCCCUGGCAACAGAGCCUUACGAUCCGAAAACCUUCAUCACUCACGCGGCGUUGCUCCGUCAGACUUGCGUCCAUUGCGGAAGAUUCCCUACUGCUGCCUCCCGUAGGAGUCUGGGCCGUGUCUCAGUCCCAGUGUGGCCGAUCACCCUCUCAGGUCGGCUACGCAUCGUCGCCUUGGUGAGCCAUUACCUCACCAACUAGCUAAUGCGCCGCAGGCCCAUCCUCAAGUGACAGAUUGCUCCGUCUUUCCAGAUUCGUUCAGGCGAACAAAUCAUGUAUUCGGUAUUAGCUACCGUUUCCGGUAGUUGUCCCAAGCUUGAGGGCAGGUUGCCUACGUGUUACUCACCCGUCCGCCGCUAAGAUAAAAGAAGCAAGCUUCCUUCAUUCUCCGCUCGACUUGCAUGUAUUAGGCACGCCGCCAGCGUGUCC
rnacentral:rRNA from 1 species